GUAUAAGUUUAUCAACGCUUUUUAAGGCGAGGACAUAUGUUUACAUUCUGAGACAUGCAAUGGGUUGAUGAAUAAGACGUAAAGGCCCUUUUCAGGGGGCCCUUACAAUUGGUUCACAGGUGUGUGUGGAUUAAGGGGCUCAGGCGUGCACAUGCCCCGAGAGGCCAGCUACAACCUUUGCCUAUAAUUUCAAUAAUGAUCCUUCCGCAGGUUCACCUACGGAAA
rnacentral:misc_RNA from 1 species